UAUCUGUAUUUAGAGGAACAAGGGCUCUGUGGUUAAAGAUGCUGAACUUGUCAGCUUGAAAGCUUCGAGACUUGAGUGAUACGAGACGGGGUGAACUUCCGUUUCUUGCCUCAGCGCUUGCCCAUCUAGCAGUCUGAAAGCAGGCAAGCGC